rnacentral:rRNA from 1 species
UGCCACUUUGUGGUUCAUGACUGGGGUGAAGUCGUAACAAGGUAGCGCUAGGGGAACCUGGCGCUGGAUCACCUCCUUACACGAUGAU